rnacentral:lncRNA from 1 species
AUGCAGGAGAUAAAAAACAAGAAUAGAAAAAUUCAUGGGAACCAAGCAUGGAGGGCCAACUAUCUGGGCAACUGGAAUGGAAUUGUGGUCACUGAGGCUCCUGGAAAUGACUGCUGCGCCCCUGUGGAGCUACUGGGAAGAGAGACUCACCUUUCCUCCUAAGCAAGAAAUUUGAAAAACACCUUGUCAUAAGAAACCUGAGAAUCAACUCAACAUGAAGGAAAACAGAAUCUAGAGAUGGAGACAUAGCAGAUCCUAGAGUUAUUAUUUGAAUUUCUGGAACAAGCACUAUCUGAAGCCAUUAUCAUUUGUCCUUUUCAAUUACUCAAGCCAAUAAACUUCUCUUAUUUCUGUUUGAUUUUAGCAGAGUUUAUUUUUCUUUGUUUGUCAAAUAAGGUGGAUAUGGAAAUUUGAAAUUAACUCUUUUGGAAAAUUCAAGUGGUGGAUUCUUC